GAGGGUAUAGCUCAGUGGUAGAGCACAUGCUUAGCAUGCAUGAGGUCCUGGAUUCAAUCCCCAGUACUCCA
rnacentral:tRNA from 1 species